AGAACGAACGCUGGCGGCAGGCUUAACACAUGCAAGUCGAGCGCCCCGCAAGGGGAGCGGCAGACGGGUGAGUAACGCGUGGGAACAUACCCUCCGGUUCGGAAUAGCUCGGGGAAACUUGGAUUAAUACCGGAUACGGCCUAGCGGCGAAAGAUUGAUCGCCGGAGGAUUGGCCCGCGUCUGAUUAGCUAGUUGGUGGGGUAAUGGCCCACCAAGGCGACGAUCAGUAGCUGGUCUGAGAGGAUGAUCAGCCACAUUGGGACUGAGACACGGCCCAAACUCCUACGGGAGGCAGCAGUGGGGAAUAUUGGACAAUGGGCGCAAGCCUGAUCCAGCCAUGCCGCGUGAGUGAUGACGGCCUUAGGGUUGUAAAGCUCUUUCGCUAGGGACGAUAAUGACGGUACCUAGACAAGAAGCCCCGGCUAACUUCGUGCCAGCAGCCGC
rnacentral:rRNA from 1 species